UACGAAGGGGGCUAGCGUUGCUCGGAAUCACUGGGCGUAAAGCGCACGUAGGCGGAUCUUUAAGUCAGAGGUGAAAUCCCAAGGCUCAACCUUGGAACUGCCUUUGAUACUGGGGAUCUCGAGUCCGGAAGAGGUUGGUGGAACUGCGAGUGUAGAGGUGAAAUUCGUGGAUAUUCGCAAGAACACCAGUGGCGAAGGCGGCCAACUGGUCCGGUACUGACGCUGAGGUGCGAAAGCGUGGGGAGCAAACAGG
rnacentral:rRNA from 1 species